GGCUCUUUGAUCUAUUAAUAUAAAGAGUUGGACCUGCCCGGUGAUUUUUUUAACGGCCGCGGUACUCUGACCGUGCGAAGGUAGCAUAAUCAUUUGCCUUAUAAUUGAGGGCUUGUAUGAACGGUUUGACAAAAGCAUAGCUGUCUCUUUAAAAUUUUAUAGAAUUUGGUUUUUAGGUGAAGAAACCUAAAUAUUAUUGAAAGACAAGAAGACCCUAUCGAGCUUUAGAAUAAUUAACUAAAAAUAUAAUUAAAAUAAUUAAUUUUAGUUAAAAACUUUGGUUGGGGCGACUGAGGAACAAAUAAAGCUUCCUUAAUUAAAAUAUACCGUAUAAGUGGUGAUCCAAAAUAUUUGAUUAAAAAAAUUAGUUACCGUAGGGAUAACAGCAUAAUCUUUUUUGAGAGUUCUUAUCGAAAAAAAGGUUUGUGACCUCGAUGUUGGACUAGGAUAUCCUAAUAGAUGCAGAAGUCUUUAAGGGCUGGUCUGUUCGACCAUUAAAAACCU
rnacentral:rRNA from 1 species